rnacentral:rRNA from 1 species
AUUGAACGCUGGCGGCAGGCCUAACACAUGCAAGUCGAACGGUAGCACAGAGAGCUUGCUCUCGGGUGACGAGUGGCGGACGGGUGAGUAAUGUCUGGGAAACUGCCUGAUGGAGGGGGAUAACUACUGGAAACGGUAGCUAAUACCGCAUAACGUCGCAAGACCAAAGAGGGGGACCUUCGGGCCUCUUGCCAUCAGAUGUGCCCAGAUGGGAUUAGCUAGUAGGUGGGGUAACGGCUCACCUAGGCGACGAUCCCUAGCUGGUCUGAGAGGAUGACCAGCCACACUGGAACUGAGACACGGUCCAGACUCCUACGGGAGGCAGCAGUGGGGAAUAUUGCACAAUGGGCGCAAGCCUGAUGCAGCCAUGCCGCGUGUAUGAAGAAGGCCUUCGGGUUGUAAAGUACUUUCAGCGGGGAGGAAGGUGUUGCGGUUAAUAACCGCAGCAAUUGACGUUACCCGCAGAAGAAGCACCGGCUAACUCCGUGCCAGCAGCCGCGGUAAUACGGAGGGUGCAAGCGUUAAUCGGAAUUACUGGGCGUAAAGCGCACGCAGGCGGUCUGUCAAGUCGGAUGUGAAAUCCCCGGGCUCAACCUGGGAACUGCAUUCGAAACUGGCAGGCUAGAGUCUUGUAGAGGGGGGUAGAAUUCCAGGUGUAGCGGUGAAAUGCGUAGAGAUCUGGAGGAAUACCGGUGGCGAAGGCGGCCCCCUGGACAAAGACUGACGCUCAGGUGCGAAAGCGUGGGGAGCAAACAGGAUUAGAUACCCUGGUANUCCACGCCGUAAACGAUGUCGACUUGGAGGUUGUGCCCUUGAGGCGUGGCUUCCGGAGCUAACGCGUUAAGUCGACCGCCUGGGGAGUACGGCCGCAAGGUUAAAACUCAAAUGAAUUGACGGGGGCCCGCACAAGCGGUGGAGCAUGUGGUUUAAUUCAAUGCAACGCGAACAACCUUACCUACUCUUGACAUCCAGAGAACUUUCCAGAGAUGGAUUGGUGCCUUCGGGAACUCUGAGACAGGUGCUGCAUGGCUGUCGUCAGCUCGUGUUGUGAAAUGUUGGGUUAAGUCCCGCAACGAGCGCAACCCUUAUCCUUUGUUGCC